rnacentral:rRNA from 1 species
GUGCCCUCGGACCCCGGUCAGCCUGGCCGCCCUCCGACGGUCUUUGUUAGGGAGGAUAAAGGCCGGCUACCUCUGCGCCUGGCGCGAGGAGGGAGCGUCCGACCCGGUGGGCAAGGUUUCCGGGGGAUCAUUCCGGGUGUCGCGUGGCUCUCGUCACGCCCCCGGACCCCGGAACCUGCUAGCCCCCGUGGACUCUCGGACAAUCCACCGCGGCCACUCCAGUCGGCGGCGCUUCAGCUUCGGGUGCUCUCCCGACCCGUCUUGAAA